rnacentral:rRNA from 1 species
CGAACGCUGGCGGCAGGCCUAACACAUGCAAGUCGAACGGACCCUUCGGGGUUAGUGGCGGACGGGUGAGUAACACGUGGGAACGUGCCUUUAGGUUCGGAAUAGCUCCUGGAAACGGGUGGUAAUGCCGAAUGUGCCCUUCGGGGGAAAGAUUUAUCGCCUUUAGAGCGGCCCGCGUCUGAUUAGCUAGUUGGUGAGGUAAUGGCUCACCAAGGCGACGAUCAGUAGCUGGUCUGAGAGGAUGACCAGCCACAUUGGGACUGAGACACGGCCCAAACUCCUACGGGAGGCAGCAGUGGGGAAUCUUGCGCAAUGGGCGAAAGCCUGACGCAGCCAUGCCGCGUGAAUGAUGAAGGUCUUAGGAUUGUAAAAUUCUUUCACCGGGGACGAUAAUGACGGUACCCGGAGAAGAAGCCCCGGCUAACUUCGUGCCAGCAGCCGCGGUAAUCUGAUGGCGCGAGG